AGACCCUGUUGAGCUUGACU
rnacentral:snRNA from 1 species